AGGACGAACGCUGGCGGCGUGCUUAACACAUGCAAGUCGAGCGGGUAAGGCCUCUUCGGGGGUACACGAGCGGCGAACGGGUGAGUAACACGUGAGUAAUCUGCCCUUCACUUCGGGAUAAGCUUCGGAAACGGGGUCUAAUACCGGAUACGACACUUUCAGGCAUCUGAUGAGUGUGGAAAGUUUUUUCGGUGGGGGAUGUGCUCGCGGCCUAUCAGCUUGUUGGUGGGGUAAUGGCCUACCAAGGCUUCGACGGGUAGCCGGCCUGAGAGGGUGACCGGCCACACUGGGACUGAGACACGGNCCAGACUCCUACGGGAGGCAGCAGUGGGGAAUAUUGGACAAUGGGCGCAAGCCUGAUCCAGCCAUGCCGCGUGAGUGAAGAAGGCCUUCGGGUUGUAAAGCUCUUU
rnacentral:rRNA from 1 species